CACCUACGGGACGCAGCAGUGGGGGAUAUUGCACAAUGGGGGGAACCCUGAUGCAGCGACGCCGCGUGGGGGAAGAAGCGCCUCGGCGCGUAAAGCCCUGUCAGCAGGGGAGAAAAUGACGGUACCUGAAGAAGAAGCCCCGGCUACCUACGUGCCAGCAGCCGCGGUAAUACGUAGGGGGCAAGCGUUAUCCGGAUUUACUGGGUGUAAAGGGAGCGUAGACGGUUAUGCAAGU
rnacentral:rRNA from 1 species